rnacentral:rRNA from 1 species
AGCAGCCGCGGUAAUUCCAGCUCCAAUAGCGCAUAUUAAAGUUGUUGCAGUUAAAAAGCUCGUAGUUGAAUUUCGGGAUUAGUAAGUUGGUCGUGCCUCUGGUAUGUACUGGCUUUACUGGUUCCUCCUUCUUGAAGAACUGUAAUGUCAUUAAUUUGGUGUUGCAGGGAAACAGGACUGUUACUUUGAAAAAAUUAGAGUGUUUAAAGCAGGCUAACGCUUGAAUACAUUAGUAUGGAAUAAUGAAAUAGGACGUUUGAUCCUAUUUUGUUGGUUUCUAGGAUUGACGUAAUGAUUAAUAGGGAUAGUUGGGGGCAUUAGUAUUCAAUUGUCAGAGGUGAAAUUCUUGGAUUUAUUGAAGACUAACUACUGCGAAAGCAUUUGCCAAGGAUGUUUUCAUUAAUCAAGAACGAAAGUUAGGGGAUCGAAGACGAUCAGAUACCGUCGUAGUCUUAACCAUAAACUAUGCCGACUAGGGAUCGGAUGAUGUUAAUUUUUUAAUGUACUCAUUCGGCGCCUU